rnacentral:misc_RNA from 1 species
GAAAUGCGAUAAGUAGUGUGAAUUGCAGAAUUCAGUGAAUCAUCGAAUCUUUGAACGCACAUUGCGCCCUUUCGUAUUCCAAAGGGCAUGCCUGUUCGAGCGUCAUUUGUACCCUCAAGCUUUGCUUGGUGUUGGGCGUCUUGUCUCUAGCUUUGCUGGAGACUCGCCUUAAAGUAAUUGGCAGCCGGCCUACUGGUUUCGGAGCGCAGCACAAGUCGCACUCUCUAUCAGCAAAGGUCUAGCAUCCAUUAAGCCUUUUUUUCAACUUUUGACCUCGGAUCAGGUAGGGAUACCCGCUGAACUUAAGC